rnacentral:rRNA from 1 species
GGGGGUGUAAAGCUUUUGCGGUGUGGGAUGGGCCCGCGGCCUAUCAGCUUGUGUAGGGUAAUGGCCUACCAAGGCGACGACGGGUAGCCGGCCUGAGAGGGUGACCGGCCACACUGGGACUGAGAUACGGCCCAGACUCCUACGGGAGGCAGCAGUGGGGAAUAUUGCACAAUGGGCGCAAGCCUGAUGCAGCGACGCCGCGUGAGGGAUGACGGCCUUCGGGUUGUAAACCUCUUUCAAUAGGGACGAAGCGCAAGUGACGGUACCUAUAGAAGAAGGACCGGCCAACUACGUG